rnacentral:rRNA from 1 species
UACAGAGAGUGCGAGCGUUAAUCGGAAUUACUGGGCGUAAAGCGCACGUAGGCGGCUUGGUAUGUCGGGUGUGAAAUCCCCCGGGCUCAACCUGGGAACUGCAUCCGAAACUGCCUUGCUCGAGUAUGGGAGAGGGAAGUGGAAUUUCCGGUGUAGCGGUGAAAUGCGUAGAUAUCGGAAGGAACAUCAGUGGCGAAGGCGACUUCCUGGACCAAUACUGACGCUCAGGUGCGAAAGCGUGGGGAGCAAACAGG